rnacentral:rRNA from 1 species
GACGAACGCUGGCGGCGUGCUUAACACAUGCAAGUCGAACGGAAAGGCCCUGCUUUUGUGGGGUGCUCGAGUGGCGAACGGGUGAGUAACACGUGAGUAACCUGCCCUUGACUUUGGGAUAACUUCAGGAAACUGGGGCUAAUACCGGUAAGGAGCUCCUGCUGCAUGGGGGGGGUUGGAAAGUUUCGGCGGUUGGGGAUGGACCCGCGGCUUAUCAGCUUGUUGGUGGGGUAGUGGCUUACCAAGGCUUUGACGGGUAGCCGGCCUGAGAGGGUGACCGGCCACAUUGGGACUGAGAUACGGCCCAGACUCCUACGGGAGGCAGCAGUGGGGAAUAUUGCACAAUGGGCGGAAGCCUGAUGCAGCAACGCCGCGUGCGGGAUGACGGCCUUCGGGUUGUAAACCGCUUUCGCCUGUGACGAAGCGUGAGUGACGGUAAUGGGUAAAGAAGCACCGGCUAACUACGUG